CCUACGGGAGGCAGCAGUGGGGAAUAUUGCACAAUGGGGGAAAACCUGAUGCAGCGACGCCGCGUGAGCGAAGAAGUAUUUCGGUAUGUAAAGCUCUAUCAGCAGGGAAGAAAAUGACGGUACCUGAGUAAGAAGCUCCGGCUAAAUACGUGCCAGCAGCCGCGGUAAUACGUAUGGAGCAAGCGUUAUCCGGAUUUACGGGGCGGAAAGGGAGCGUAGGCGGCCUGCCAAGUCUGAUGUGAAAUCACGGGGCUCAACCCCGGGGCUGCAUUGGAAACAGGCAGGCUGGCGUGCCGGAGAGGCAUGCGGAAUUCCUGGUGUAGCGGUGAAAUGCGUAGAUAUUAGGAGGAACACCAGUGGCGAAGGCGGCCUGCUGGACGGUGACUGACGCUGAGGCUCGAAAGCGUGGGGAGCAAACAGGAUUAGAUACCCCUGUAGUC
rnacentral:rRNA from 1 species